rnacentral:rRNA from 1 species
CCCUUAGAUGCUCUGGGCCGCACGCGCGCUACACUGAACAGUUCAACAAGUCUUAACCUUGGCCGAUAGGUCUGGGUAAUCUUUGAACGCUGUUCGUGAUUGGGAUAGACCUUUGCAAUUAUGGGUCUUCAACGAGGAAUUCCUAGUAAACGCAAGUCAUCAGCUUGCAUUGAUUACGUCCCUGCCCUUUGUACACACCGCCCGUCGCACCUACCGAUUGAAUGGUCCGGUGAAAUCUCGGGACGGCGGCUCGGUCGCUUGCGUCCGACUGCUGAAACUUGAUUAAACCAUAUCAUUUAGAGGAAGGUGAAGUCGUAACA